rnacentral:rRNA from 1 species
AUAAGCACCGGCUAACUACGUGCCAGCAGCCGCGGUAAUACGUAGGGUGCAAGCGUUAAUCGGAAUUACUGGGCGUAAAGCGUGCGCAGGCGGUUCGCUAAGACAGAUGUGAAAUCCCCGGGCUUAACCUGGGAACUGCAUUUGUGACUGGCGGGCUAGAGUAUGGCAGAGGGGGGUAGAAUUCCACGUGUAGCAGUGAAAUGCGUAGAGAUGUGGAGGAAUACCGAUGGCGAAGGCAGCCCCCUGGGCCAAUACUGACGCUCAUGCACGAAAGCGUGGGGAGCAAACAGGAUUAGAUACCCUGGUAGUCCACGCCCUAAACGAUGUCAACUAGUUGUUGGGUCUUCAUUGACUUAGUAACGUAGCUAACGCGUGAAGUUGACCGCCUGGGGAGUACGGUCGCAAGAUUAAAACUCAAAG